AUUUUAUUUAGGAUUUAGGAUUUGAUUUAGGAUUUAGGAUUUGAGUUAGGAUUUGAUUAGGAUUUAAUUUAGGAAUAGGAUUUGAUUAGAAUUUGAUUUAUGAUUUAAGAUUUGAUUUAAGAUUUGGUUAGGAUUGGGUUUAGGAUUUGUUUAGGAUUUAAUUUAGGAUUUAGGAUUUGAUAGGGAUUUAGUUUAGAUUUAGGAUUUGAUUUAGGAUUUAAGGUUUGAUUAGGGUUUGGUUUAGGAUUUGGUUGGAGUUUGGUUUAGAAUUUGUUUAGGAUUUAAUUUAGGAUUUAGGAUUUUAUUAGGAUUUGUUAAGAUUUAAGAUUUAAUUAGUUUUGGCCUAAAGUUUGAAUGAAGUCCAAUAGGAUUUUAACUAGAAUUAAAUUAAAAUUGAAUUGAGAUGUAUUUGAGAUAUAUUUGUGAUCAUUCUAAUAUUUCUUUAAGAUUUCUUAUUGUUUCUUUGAAAUUUCUUUGAGAUUUCUUUGAAUUUGAUUAAAGUUUGUUUAGCAUUGUUAGUAUUCUAUUAGAAUUAGUAUUUUGUUGUUGCAAUUUCCAUUCUACCUUCUACAAUCAGGUGCUCGGAGCAUUCUCAAGCAAAACUUUACGUAUUAUGA
rnacentral:lncRNA from 1 species